rnacentral:rRNA from 1 species
UACGUAGGGUGCGAGCGUUGUCCGGAAUUACUGGGCGUAAAGGGUGCGUAGGCGGUUUGUUAAGUCUGUCGUGAAAUCCCCGGGCUCAACCUGGGAAUGGCGAUGGAUACUGGCGAGCUAGAGUGUGUCAGAGGAUGGUGGAAUUCCCGGUGUAGCGGUGAAAUGCGUAGAGAUCGGGAGGAACAUCAGUGGCGAAGGCGGCCAUCUGGGACAACACUGACGCUGAAGCACGAAAGCGUGGGGAGCAAACAGG